UCAGUCCCGCCCCUUUGUAUCCUGCAGCUGCGUAAAGUAGAUCCCGGGCUUCCUGUUGGAGCUAGGACCGCGACCCAUCUAUGAAACUGGUCUGGACUCGAGGUCUGGAAGUGGAUGGGGGCUCAUUAUCGUAUUUAGGGCAUAAGAAAGCAGGACAAAGUAACAAUAAGAGCCAAUAAGAAGACUUGUUGUGCGCGCCCUCCACCUCCCCAUCACAACCUGGCCUUUACGGAUUCAUCAGCCUCUUCGGCCUCAGCAGUCAGCAGUCUCGGAGUCAUCAGCCACCUCCACCACCACCAGUGUCUGGACUCCAAGGGGAGAUUUGUCCUGCUGCUGCUCACAUGUUCCUCAAACACAAAAUAUCUCCCUCUGGUGUCCAAGCACCAAACGACUUCUGUUAAAUCUUAAUCAGCACAAAUCAUCUGUUAAUCUGCACACUCAUAUUUCAUAUCAAAUAUGAUCUGUACGUCAUUCUUCUGUCUCUCCUGAUUGAAAUGCACGUUCUACACCUGUGCAUACUGCACAUAUGAAGUUUUGUGGUGCCAAAAUAAACAAAUAAGCUAAGCAGUUGAAAUACUUUGUGUAUCAGUCAUCAAGAAAAGCAGAAUGAGGGAGAUAAUUGGUGUGAAAAUGAGUGGGCUGAAUCACAGGCAGGAAUUUACAUAAAAGACCAACACACCUGUUAUUUAACUGUUGACGUAGCUUGAUUUUGCCCAUAGCUGACUAUCUAAACAUAAAUCAGUUGAAUAAUUAAUGGAUUACACAACAGAUUGAGAGGCUGUGACUUUUCAAACUGGCAAAGAUCAACAGUGUAUAAGUAAUAUGUAUCAAACAACUUUGUGUGGGCACUCACAAAACUAAAUAGUAAGUUAAACAUGCUGAUGUGUUCAGUUUGGGUUUCUCUAGUCUCCAUUUAAUGCAAGAUUUGGACAUAUGCAACCGGUAAACGAUUCACAACACUGUGAAUGGACUAAAAAAGCAGUACCAAGUGACAGCUCAAGUGUGAGCAGAUUAAACUGAUAUUGAAUGUAUGCAAGAAGUGUUGGCCUCUGCUCCUGGUUGCAGUUGACCUGCAGUGACCCGUGUGAUAGCUUUCACAGAUGCAGCCCGUGCACAUGACAGAUUUGAACUCUUUGCCAAUAUGCAUUCAUGAGUGGCAUGGGUAUCAGCGAAUAGCCUGAGUAGGACUCGGCCAUAGCAGCCAAUCAGAGAUCAUUUCCUCAUCGCGGC